rnacentral:sRNA from 1 species
AUGUACGCCCUACGCGCCGGUUCCGAGCGCUGUCCUCCCAGCUGAUGGCUGCUCGCUACGUUUUGUUAGCG